UCCUUGGUGGUCCAGUGGUUAGGACUCCACACUUCCACUGCAGGGGACACGGGUUCGAUCCCUGGUCAGGGAA
rnacentral:tRNA from 1 species